rnacentral:rRNA from 1 species
GAUGAACGCUAGCGGCAGGCCUAACACAUGCAAGUCGAGGGGUAGAACACUUCGGUGUUUGAGACCGGCGCACGGGUGCGUAACGCGUAUGCAAUCUACCUUGUACAGGGGAAUAGCCCAGAGAAAUUUGGAUUAAUGCCCCAUAGUAUAUAACCUUCGCAUGUUGGUUAUAUUAAAGUUCCAACGGUACAAGAUGAGCAUGCGUCCCAUUAGUUAGUUGGUAAGGUAACGGCUUACCAAGACGAUGAUGGGUAGGGGUCCUGAGAGGGAGAUCCCCCACACUGGUACUGAGACCCGGACCAGACUCCUACGGGAGGCAGCAGUGAGGAAUAUUGGUCAAUGGUCGCAAGACUGAACCAGCCAUGCCGCGUGCAGGAUGAAGCAUCUAUGGUGUGUAAACUGCUUUUGUACGGGAAGAAACACCGCUACGUGUAGCGGCUUGACGGUACCGUAAGAAUAAGGAUCGGCUAACUCCGUGCCAGCAGCCGCCGUAAAAC